rnacentral:rRNA from 1 species
UAAUGGUCAAUGGGCGCGAGCCUGAACCACCCAAGAAGCGUGAAGGAUGACCGCCCUAUGGGUUGUAAACCUCUUUUAUAUGGGAAUANNGUGCAGUAUGUAUACUGCUUUGCAUGUACCUUAUGAAUAAGGAUCGGCUAACUCCGUGCCAGCAGCCGCGGUAAUACGGAGGAUCCGAGCGUUAUCCGGAUUUAUUGGGUUUAAAGGGAGCGUAGGCGGGUUGUUAAGUCAGUUGUGAAAGUUUGCGGCUCAACCGUAAAAUUGCAGUUGAUACUGGCAUCCUUGAGUACAGUAGAGGUAGGCGGAAUUCGUGGUGUAGCGGUGAAAUGCUUAGAUAUCACGAAGAACUCCGAUUGCGAAGGCAGCCUGCUGGACUGUAACUGACGCUGAUGCUCGAAAGUGUGGGUAUCAAAC